GUUAGGUCGCGUGAACUUAGCUUUUGUGUUCAUGGCGUAAUGGACGUUCAGUCAGGAGGGUUUGAUAUUUCUGUGUGUGUGUUUUUUUUUAUUACAGGGUGCACAACUUGACAGGUUCAGUCGGCACGACCAAUGAAAUCGGUGCGAGAGGAGAGAGGAAAUAAAAAAAUUACUUUCUCAGUCUCUCUCUCUCCGGUAAAAACUCGCAUUGUUGGGACGAAGAUUCAAUAAAACUUAACACACACUGUUGGUUUUAUCAGUCCUUCACUUCAUUGUUGGAAGACUGUUUGAAUCUAUGUCGGGGUCGAUUCUUUACACUGAAAUUGUGUGUGCUGUUAAUUCUUUGUUUCAAUUAGCUCCAGAUUCAACAUUAGAGAAAGACGUCGAAUGUUGCUGUACUCAAGAAGCGAAUCACGUGAUCGAGUAAUAAAAUGCAAUCGGGGUCUUGAGCAUCGUUAUUAAUCCGUAGAUUUUACAGCGACAAUAAAAAUCGCCGAAUUGUCGUCGUCGAUGUUCGAUAAAACUUUACUGUUGCAAUAAUGCAGCUCUAUUUUAACAAAUUAAUUUCUUAGAGAUGGACUGUUCUAACCCGAAAAUUGUGACGCUGUAAUUCUUAUUACUGAAUUACGAAAGAGCCUCAAGGCGGAAGAUGAACAUCGUUGUUUCGAUUGCAUUUUCGAAUGCAGUGGCCUUUCCUUCCAACACGUCAAGUUUGAAUUGCGUUUUUAGCAGAAGGAAGGCCCUGCCAAGUUUUCAGUUAUGCAGAGUACCGAAAUUCGGCAUUGGAUUAAAAAUUACAGUUCUGGCGUCGUUUGUGUUUUCAUUCAUCGCACUAGAUGGCGUACAACGAUUUUUAAAUUUCUUCGAGCUACCUAUAAAUUUGGAUUCAUGCAACAGAAGAGGGAUCAAGAAUACUGAGGACACAGGUCUUGCUCAUGUCCUGUGCCUUAACGUGGCGAUAAGGUGAAACAAAGAACGGUGCAGUCCCUAAAUUGAAGUCGUCGUUGCAUGAUUGUAAACUCAAUUUGGUUAAACUUUUACCUAUUACAUGCAUAUGAUUGUAUUGCCUAAAGCAGACAUUCUAACUGGCUUUCUGACAAAUCAAUCGUAUUUCGUAAAGUGUAAACUCCCAUUAGUUGACCCGUGUUUGUCGGCCAAGAAUUUUUUUCUAGGUAGAACUGUCUUCCAUUGUUUGUAUGGACUUUAAAUGGAACAAAAUAACACGAAGACAUGAAUGCAUAUUUUUGUGCUUAUCAAGGAUUAUUGUCCAGUUAUGUAUCCAAGCAUAAAACAUUUUUAAUUAAACUUGUAGACAAAUAUAAAACAUGAUUUACGCUAUGACAAAGUAAAUGUACCAGAAUUAUUGUGCUAUGCAUAUGUUUCCAAACUUGUUUCUCUAAUAUAUGACUAACAUGCAAGAUGUGA